UUUUGAAUUAAGAGCCAAGCUUCUCUAAUUGAAGUUGAUGAGAAAGGAGAACCUCCCAGCAAAGGCAAGGCCUUGGAGGGGGUUUAACCACUUUUUGGGAUUCUUUGAGGUGAAGCUUUAGCUUGAGGCAAGGAACCUGCAGAGGAUUAGCAUUCGAAGAAAUGAAAUCAUCUAAGUUUAGCUAGUUUCUACGGCUAACCUGAUGAGAUGGCGUGGAAGACCGACAGACUUAUUAGUCCAGUUCAUUUAGAAGUGUAGAGCCCUGACUGGAUGUUCAUCGAGAAGCUGGGGUCACCACAUGGUGAACAGAUGGAUCAACGUCAAAAACAUGAGUACCUUAAUGACUCUGAAUCUAGCCAUGGCCACAAUGAAACUUUAGUGAGGUUUCUAGACCAUGUGGUGUUUAUUUUGUAGUGUCAUAUAAAAUUUGUGGUUUUAGCGGUGAGUAUUUGUGUUUUAUGGAUUUUGAGACUUGUAUUAUAUAGUUUGUUAUAUAUAUAUAUAUAUAUAUGGAAAUGUUCGGAUCUAUUUGCAUUAUUAUAAAAGCAUUGUUUGAUGUUCAA